GUAGACUAGGAGAGCGAGGGAGAUUCCUAUGGAGACGGCGAGCACAGGUUUGCCGUAGUCAGUAGGUGGGGUGAGGUGGUGGACUCCGGACAUGUAGUUGGGUGCGGUGUCUGGAGAGGCUGAUGUAGAGUCCGACUUUGUCCUGAAUUUCCUCUAGAGGUCUAGCGGAAACAACGGUGACUGUGUCAAACUCUAGGCCCAGGGCGGUUGUGGGGCAAAGGAAGGGCGCUCUGUGGGCUUGGAGGAGGUUCUGGGUGGUGGAGUCAAGGGCGAUUAUUGUGCCCAGGAGUGGUCCUUCAAACAGCCCGGAGAACUGAAUGAUGGAUGAGUCAGAGCGGCUGGAGGUGCAGGGGCAAAUUAGUUUGGAGAUCAGCUUUGUCGUUUCAGGGCAGAGGCGGUGGCUGAUGGAUUUGACGAAGUGAGGUCGGAGGGCCAAACCUGGAUGUUGGAGGGGGUCGGCAAGCACAACGUCCCAGGAACCCUUGAGUGGCUGGAGAGCGGCGUACUCGUCGAGGAGGUUUAGCUUGUUUGCUUCCGGGCAGGUGAGUUUUCGGAUGUAUGCCCCGGUGAGGUUUGGAGACUGUGGGGUUCCGGCGGUCUGAGCUGAGAGGUUCGG
rnacentral:misc_RNA from 1 species